rnacentral:rRNA from 1 species
UGCUAGUUGCACGAGUUCAUACUCGUGGCGAAAGCUCAGUAACACGUGGCCAAACUACCCUACAGAGAACGAUAACCUCGGGAAACUGAGGCUAAUAGUUCAUACGGGAGUCAUGCUGGAAUGCCGACUCCCCGAAACGCUCAGGCGCUGUAGGAUGUGGCUGCGGCCGAUUAGGUAGACGGUGGGGUAACGGCCCACCGUGCCGAUAAUCGGUACGGGUUGUGAGAGCAAGAGCCCGGAGACGGAAUCUGAGACAAGAUUCCGGGCCCUACGGGGCGCAGCAGGCGCGAAACCUUUACACUGCACGCAAGUGCGAUAAGGGGACCCCAAGUGCGAGGGCAUAUAGUCCUCGCUUUUCUCGACUGUAAGGCGGUCGUGGAAUAAGAGCUGGGCAAGACCGGUGCCAGCCGCCGCGGUAAUACCGGCAGCUCAAGUGAUGACCGAUAUUAUUGGGCCUAAAGCGUCCGUAGCCGGCCACGAAGGUUCAUCGGGAAAUCCGCCAGCUCAACUGGCGGGCGUCCGGUGAAAACCACGUGGCUUGGGACCGGAAGGCUCGAGGGGUACGUCCGGGGUAGGAGUGAAAUCCCGUAAUCCUGGACGGACCACCGAUGGCGAAAGCACCUCGAGAAGACGGAUCCGACGGUGAGGGACGAAAGCUAGGGUCUCGAACCGGAUUAGAUACCCGGGUAGUCCUAGCUGUAAACGAUGCUCGCUAGGUGUGACACAGGCUACGAGCCUGUGUUGUGCCGUAGGGAAGCCGAGAAGCGAGCCGCCUGGGAAGUACGUCCGCAAGGAUGAAACUAAA